rnacentral:rRNA from 1 species
UUUAUUUACCUUGUUGCUUCGGCGGGCCCGCCUUAACUGGCCGCCGGGGGGCUCACGCCCCCGGGCCCGCGCCCGCCGAAGACACCCUCGAACUCUGUCUGAAGAUUGUAGUCUGAGUGAAAAUAUAAAUUAUUUAAAACUUUCAACAACGGAUCUCUUGGUUCCGGCAUCGAUGAAGAACGCAGCGAAAUGCGAUACGUAAUGUGAAUUGCAAAUUCAGUGAAUCAUCGAGUCUUUGAACGCACAUUGCGCCCCCUGGUAUUCCGGGGGGCAUGCCUGUCCGAGCGUCAUUGCUGCCCUCAAGCACGGCUUGUGUGUUGGGCCCCGUCCUCCGAUUCCGGGGGACGGGCCCGAAAGGCAGCGGCGGCACCGCGUCCGGUCCUCGAGCGUAUGGGGCUUUGUCACCCGCUCUGUAGGCCCGGCCGGCGCUUGCCGAUCAACCCAAAUUUUUAUCCAGGUUGACCUCGGAUCAGGUAGGGAUACCCGCUGAACUUAAGCAUAUCAUAAGGCCGGAGGAAUUACCGAGUGA